AUGGAUGGUCGUGUGGGUCGGUUCACGAAGGCGAACGACGGAUUCGCCACGGCUUGGGGCAUGGCCGAAGCUGGAUUGUUGAUGCCGCAUGGUGUGAAGGCUACUGGAGCGAAGGUUAUUUGUGCACGAUGGAUGGUUGUUGAUCGGUUGAAUCUGCGAGCGAUUUGUGGUUGUACAGGAACAUUAUUGUUGAAGACGUUUGCAGGGCGGAUGCUGCGGAGUUGCGGGAGAGGGUCUGAGCGGGAUUCGUCGGUGGUGGUUUUGCAUAUAAUUCCAUUAAUUUUGUAA